rnacentral:rRNA from 1 species
UACGUAGGGGGCAAGCGUUGUCCGGAAUUAUUGGGCGUAAAGAGCGCGUAGGCGGCCCGAUAAGUCGACUGUGAAAGUCUAGGGCUCAACCCUGGAAAGCCGGUCGAUACUGUCGGACUAGAGUCCGGAAGAGGCAAGUGGAAUUCCCGGUGUAGCGGUGAAAUGCGCAGAUAUCGGGAGGAACACCAAUGGCGAAGGCAGCUUGCUGGGACGGUACUGACGCUGAGGCGCGAAAGCCAGGGGAGCAAACGGG